rnacentral:misc_RNA from 1 species
GAUAUACCAGAGUUAGAAGCAACCAUACAAAGUACAUAAUAACUACACACAUAAUCAUGUUAAAUAUAAGAAAUAACAGAGCAAGCAUGGCAUUUCUAAAUAGUAUGUAUUCAAGCUUAAGCAAGUGAUUGGUCUAUGUUCUCUAGAAUGAAUGAUAUUGCAAUAAUACAAAACUCUAAAAACCCUAGAAAAAUUAUAAGAUUUGUACAGGAAAAAUUAGUAAGAUUAACACAAGUAAAAAACAACUAGUUCAGACUUGAAAUGCCAUUUUUUAUGAUGUAUUAUGAUUUAUAAGAACAUAAUUGCACUAGGAGCAGAAAGUUU